rnacentral:rRNA from 1 species
UAAANUGGGAUUAGAUACCCCACUAUACUGAAGGAAAUAUAANGAAGUNGAGCAGUAAAGUUACAAAACCUAAACUUAAACAGCAUGGCGGUAACUAAGAAUUUCAGGGGAAUUUGUCCGGUAAAUGAUAUCCCACAUGUGGCCCAACACUCCCUCAAAGUUUGUAUAUCGCCGUCCUUGGCAUGGUUUGAGACCAGGUCAACCUCUAUUCCUAGAUAAAGACAGGCCUUUUUGCAGCCCAUGGGGGUGUUCGAGAUGAGUUACAAUCCUUAAUUAGGUCGAACCUGGGGGAUAAACUCCCCCUUCGAAGGUGGACUUGAAAGUAAAUAAAAUAGAAAUUAUUUCUUGAAACAAAAUCUUAGUUGUGCACACNCCGCCCGUCNCCCUAC